UGUAUCCUGCUACUUUGCCAAAAGCAUUUAUGAAACAUAAGUUUUUAUGUGGAGUCUUUAGAGUCUUUUAGGUAUAGGAUUAUAUCAUGUGCACAUGGGGAUAAUUUGACUAGAUUUUUCCUAUUUGUAUCCCUUUUAUUUCUUUCUCAUGCCUUAUUGCUCUGGCUAAGAAUUCUAGCAUUGGACUGAAUAAAAGUGGGAAGGGUGGCACCCUUGUCUCAUUCUUUCCCAUUUUGUACAAUGUUGGCUCCAAGUUUAUUGUAUAUAGUCUUUAUUAUGUUGAGGUACAUUUCUUCUAUUCCUAAUUUCUUCAGCUAUGCCAGUACUUUCUUUGCAUGCUAUAAUUUUAAAAAGAUAAUGCCAUAUAUGGAAUAAUUGGAAUUAAUAUUUGUUGAAUGUGUUCUAUAUGAAAGACACUGUGUGACAUGUAUGUAUGAGGUAGGUAUCUCUGAUUAAAAAAAAAGCAAAAAUGAGAGAGACUAACUGACAUGCCAAGGAUCACUAUAACUAGUACUAGGCUGACCUUCCAUUCAAAUCUCAUGCCCCCAAAGUCUGUUCCUUCCAUUAACUUCAUUGUAAUAAUUAAGAUUUUGAUAAAAUAUUAAAACUUAGACUGGGUAUGGUGGCACAUGCCUAUAAUUCCAGUGACAUAGGAGGGGAGAUGGGUACGAGAGGAUCACAAGUUCGAGUCCAGCCCAGACAAAGAUACUAUUACCUUAUCUCAGAAACAAAAUCCAAACAAAAGUUCUGGAGGGGCUAUGGCUCAAGUGGCAAAGUGCUUGCCUUAUCCUAUGCAAGGCUCUGGGUUCAAUCCCCAGUGCUACAAAAAAAAAAAGAUGUUAUAGCUUUGGUAUAGGGUAUAACUUUUUUAAACUAGUACCUCUUUAGGCAUUUUGGCAAGUAUUAUAUACAGCAAAAUUCUAGAAGAAACAUCUUUGUAAAUAAAAACUAACACAACCACAUUCAAAGAAAAUCAGCAUUGUACAUACUUUAAUGAAACAGACUGAAAAUCACUUAACAUUCUUCAUGACCUUAUAGAUCGUAAGAAAGAUCUGGUGAAGUUACAAGCAGGAGAAUAUGUUUCUCUUGGGAAAGUAGAAGCAGCCCUGAAGAAUUGUCCACUUAUUGACAACAUCUGUGCUUUUGCCAAAAGUGACCAGUCCUAUGUAAUCAGUUUUGUGGUUCCUAAUCAGAAAAGGUUGACACUUUUGGCACAACAGAAGGGGGUAGAAGGAACUUGGGUUGACAUCUGCAACAAUCCUGCCAUGGAAGCAGAAAUACUGAAAGAAAUUCGAGAAGCUGCAAAUGCUAUGAAACUAGAGCGAUUUGAAAUUCCAAUUAAGGUUCGCUUAAGCCCAGAGCCAUGGACCCCUGAAACUGGUUUGGUAACUGAUGCUUUCAAACUGAAAAGGAAGGAACUGAGGAACCAUUACCUCAAGGAUAUUGAGCGAAUGUAUGGGGGCAAAUAAAAUGUCACUCUCUUAUUUCCGGUGAUGUAGGAAGUGAUCUGGUGGUUUUUCAAUUCUAGAGUUUAAGCCUUUGUUGAACUGUCUGUUAGAAUGUAAGGUAUAUCAUUCUAAAGACAUGGUAAUUAAAAAAAAAAAACAAAACUGAUUAAAAUAGUUGUCAAGUCUACUUUAACUUAGUUUUUGUAUAGUUCUAGUGAAGCUGAUAUCAAAGUUUUUUCCCUUUAGAUGUGUUCUUAAUUUUAGAGCAGAAAUUCUGUUUUUAAAAAAUUAGCCUAAGAUACAAUUGUUUUCAUAAAGAAGAAUAUUUAAUGUUGAACAAAAUAAAAUGGAGUUGGAGUAGAAUGUAGUUUGAGGAAAUUUGCAGCUUCCAGUGUCUAUUGUCUUCCUAGUUCAGAAGUUUAAAUAGUGAGCAUGACGAAAAUAUGUAGUAACACUACUCAAAGCAAAGUGCUGUGAGGCUUUAAAAUUCUCUUCCAACCUUUUAUCCUGAAGGGAAAAAUCAGUUAUAAUCUAAUUUACAAAGUCAAAUAAUACCUCAGGAGGUAUUAUUUUAAGACCAUAAUUCUUGCAUAGGUUACACAUAGAAUCACUAUAAUAUUGUGAAUAAUUACAGUUCCUAAACUAAGAAUAAGACAACAUAUACAUACCAAAAAUAUCUAGUAAUAUGAUUGGAAAGGAAAUUUAACUACUCCUUUGACACAUUGAGAUCUAAAAUCAGUAGCUGUAAUUAUUUGGAUUACUUAAGAAGAAAGUACAUUUUUUAAAUGGUGAAAAAUGCCUUUCUGUGUUUGUUCAAAGUGAAAGACUGAGACCAAGAGGAAAAUGAUAGAAAGUCAGUCAAAAUUAAACAGGAAGCAUUUUCUGUAUUAGAAAAGCUGAAGAAAUCAUAAGUGUUUGGAAUGGUGGCCCUUGCACAGCCCUGAACCUGGGAAAGAGAUUUAGUCUCUGAAUUUAUUGUUGAUAACAAGCAUUGAUUUUUAAAUGUACUCAUAUUAAAUUACAUUUGUAAUUUAUGGUCUGUUUGCUGUUGCUGAUUUGAUUCUUGAUCAGUAGUUUGCAUUCCAGAAAGCCUUUCAUUUUGCUUUAAUUUUAGCAAAGCGGGUUAUGACAAGUAACUUCUCCAAAAUCUUGUUCAGACCUACUACGGGUGGCUUAUUAUCUUGGAUGAGUUUUGGGAAAUUAAAGAGAAGAAAACACUGUUACCACUUUCUUCCUGUUUGUGAAGAAUUUAGAAACUGGAAAUACUAGAUUUGGGAGAAGGGCAGAGUUACUGGGUAAGGGACUGAUAUGUGCUCAGUAACUUGGAGUGUGGGUUUCUUUUUAAAUCUUUAAUUAAAGGCUGGGAUUAUAUGUCCCUGAUAGAUAUUCACACUUGAACCAUAGUUACUGUAAAAAGCAAAAGUUCUUAAUACUGUUAUUCUUUGCACUUUUUCUUAAUCAUUAUAUAUAUAUAUAUACAUUUUAUAUGUGUGUGUGUGUGUGUGUUGCUUACAUUGCAUUGUACGGGUGUGGGCCACCACUACAAGAUAAAUUCCUUUCGCUCUCAAAUAUUUAUAAAGAGAAUAUUUAAAUGUUAUGUAUAUGGUGGUAAUGAGGAAAAAUCAUCUGGUAAUAUAAGCAAGAAUGAAGGUUUUUGUAAAGAUUUCUGUGCAGUGUUCUGCAAAGUAAAAUUCUAGACAAAUUUUCCUUGAAGUUAUGUCUGAGUAUUCUCAUUCUUCCCAACUUGCCUUUGAAGAGUGAAAAACCAUUAUCAAGUAGACUACUAUUCAGCUUCUAUUAUUCCUGGCUGCUGUUUAUCCUUUAAGGGUGAUUUUCUUAGACUUUUCCAAUAUGUGGUCCUCCAUUUGGAAUGGUGAUUUUAACAUAUGAGUGCAUGCAUACCAUUUUAUCUCAGAUGUUUGCAACCCCACCCCCAUCUCCCAAAAGCUGGAACACUGCCAACUGAUCUGUUGAAGAGGUCCUUUCAAAAUGUAUCAUUAAUGCUGACGGUUGGGUGCUGCUAAUUCUUUGCAAAAAUCCAAAUAUUGUUAAGGGACCAGGGAGAUGCCACUACCCCCUGAUUUUUCAUCCAAAAAAUACAUGUUUAUGAAAACAGAUAUCUUUCCAUAUUCAUAGUGACUUUUUAAGUAUUUGAGCCUAAAGAUUUCGAUCUCACACUUUUAUACCUGUUUAAAUCGUUCACAGUUAUUAUUACAUGUCAGCCAUCAAAUAAAGUUGUAUUUGAUAAAUUUACUACAAGUAUGUACAUUUCUAAGUCAAACACUUGUGACUUUUGCUUUAAUCAUAUGAAAGUAUCUUGCCUCCUUGAUAUUUGUAUUCAUUUGUUUCCUAGAGUGGAUGUAUAAUUAAUUGUGUGACUUUUUAGAACUGAAAUACAGGUGAAUGAUUCAAAAAGUCAGAAACAAAGGGGAGUUGUGCGUGUUUGAUCUCAGAGACUGGUUAGUAAUCCUUGCCUAUGCUUUCCUGAUAGCAUAUGACAAAUGUUUCUAAAGUAAGAAGAUAAGAAUGGGUUAAAGAUUGUGUGGCGUUUGGGAUUUGGAAAGAAAUAUUUUAAUUUUUUGAAUGUAAUAAAAAAUUAUGUAUUCAUAUUUGUACUUUCUGUUAAAAUGCACGAUUGCAGGAAUGUUAUUUAGAUUUUGUCUUUACUCUUGAUGAAAAGCUUUGUCCUUGUUUUUAAGUUUGCACUCAAAUCAUAUGAAAUAAAUUCACCCAUGUUAUCAAUCCAA